ACAGACAUUUAUUUUCUUCUGCUUCUAAAGGUUGGAAGUCCAAGAUGAAGGUGCUGGCGAAUUCAGUUUGUUGAGGGGCUUUUCGGAUGACAGGAUUCUGUUGCAUCCUCACACAG
rnacentral:miRNA from 1 species